AAAUGGAACACGUUACACUUUUAUAAACAGUGUUCAACUGAAUGAAACGGGGCUGGGUCUGUUCUGAGGCCACCCACUUGCUCUCAGUGACAGACAGUAAAACACAUUUUGCCAAAGUGAACUAAUAACUUCUGAGUGCUGAGUGUGUCCUGUGUUCCGCUGCCAUCCUAGGGCCCCUCCAGAUGUGAGCUCACUAAACCUCGCAACAAUGCAGAGAUGGGUGAUGUUGGCCCUGUUUUGACAGAUAAGGAACCUGAGAUUGGGGGAAAUCGGCUUAAAAGGGUCAGCAUUUCCGUGGGCAACAUCUGGUCUUGGAAGGAAUAAGCUGCUGACCCAGAAGCCAUAGGCUUUGAUGAAUGGGGCCUCAUGUAAGAGAUGGUUGGAACAUGCUCAAGCCUCAGUCUCCUUACCAUGGAUGGAAUUGUGACACACACCUUCCCCUCAAAAAAAAAGAGCGAGAUGCUGAAUUCCUAACCCUGGUACUUGGGAAUGUGACCAUAUUUGAAAACAGAGUCAUUGCAGAUGUUAUCAGGGGCUUCCCAGGCUCAGUGGCAAAGAAUCCACCUGCCAAUGCAGGAGACACAGAAGACGGGGGUUCAACCCCUGGGUGGAGAAGAUCCCCUGGAGUAGGAAAUGGCAACUCACUCCCAGUAUUCUUGCCUGGAGAAUCCUACGGACAGAGGAGCCUGGCGAGCUAUAGUUCACAAGGUCGUAAAGAGUCAGAUACGAUUGAGCAGCUGGGCAUGACACACAGAUGUUGACAAGUUAAGACAAAGACAUCCUGUAUUAGGGGGGGGCCGGUGAUCCAGGGGCUGGUGUCCUUAUAAGGAGGUCAUACGAAGACACAGGGACACAGAGACGUGGGAGAAUGUCACAUGAAGACAGAGGUGGAUACGGAAGUGACGCAGCCACAUGCAAGGAAUGCCAAGGCUCCAGAAGCCAGGAGAGAGGUAGGGAAUGGAUUCUCUUGCAGAGCUGCCAGGAAGAGCUGGCCCUGCUGGCCCUGCUGACCCCUGGAUUUCUGACUUCUAGUCUCCAGAGCUGUGAGAGAUUUCUGGUGUGUUAAGCCACCCAGUUUCUUGUAUUUUGCUAGGCAGCAGUAGGAAAUUAAUAGACUCCCUCUCGGCUGAACUGGACCCUUGCCAUCCUGAGCCUACUCCUUCUAAAAGACAGAUCAGUUCUCUUCCUAUUGAUGUCCCCUUCUGCAGCCACCCUGGGACAUAACUUCCUUUCCAGCCUCCAAUUUUGAGGAUAUUUUAUGCCCUCUUACAUUCUAUUGUCUUUGAGAAUUUAUAUAUAUAUAUAUUUUUUUUUUUUUAAGAAAUGCAACAUUACUAUUUCUAACCACACUUAAUAGCAUUAAAUAAGUCAAUAAAAUAUUAAACAAAAGUGCUCAUUUUAUAAUUAUCUCAAUUAGCAAAAACAGCAAAACAACCAAAAAAAGUAGGAAAUGAUUAAAUAAAUUGUGACAAGUCACUCUGGAAUUCUAGGCUGCCAUUUCAAAGGAUAAUAUGCAAAUUAUGUUAGGCAUUUGGAAACACAUUUUGAAGUUUAUGUUAAGUGGCUAGAGCAGAAUACACUGGUGUUCCUGGAUGAAAAUGUGUUUGCAUGCGGACAACAGCUUGAGGGGGCAUCACAGGGAGAAGAGAACGUGAGUCCUGACUUAUCCCCAAUCUGCUCUUGAGGAUUUAGGUAUUCUCUGAGGCCAUAUAUAUUUUCUCUCCUGACACCCUCGAUUUCCUUCUGGGUCCUCAACAGCAGGUUAACAUCCUUACUUACAGACUGUUCAAGGAACGGUAGGCUUUUUCUAUCAUGUUCCUUAAAAUUCUUCCAGCCUCUUUCCAUUUCCCAAGAAUGUUUAAAUCUUUAAAAAUUUCCAAAAAAUUUUUUUUCCUUUGUUAUUUUAUUAAUGGAAUUCCCAGAAGGAUGUGGAAUAAACUAGGGAGGUCAAUCUGCCAUUGUUAAUUGGCAAGAUCAACUCCAUUGCAGAUCAAAGUGUUUGGUCAAGGACAACUUGACAUAAAAUCUUUCUGAGAAAGUAUGUCUCUGGUAACCAGCUAAACAGAACCUAUUAGCUCAUUCAGCGCUCCAGGAACUGCUUUCUCUAGAAUCUCUACUCAGCUCCUUGUAUCCUCCUCUCUGAAGAACUCAAGAGUUUUAUUUUGUAAAUGGGAGGUUUCUGAGGUACAGUACUGCUGGACAAAAAUGGAAUCGCCUUUCACUUCCUUGGGGCAGUGUGGUGGGAAAGAGCCCCCAAAUAAGGCCGAGAGGACUUGGCUUUCAAAUUUUGGCUCUGCUGUGUACUAACCACUUCACUCCGGUUAAGUCCGUUAGUUUCUGUAGGUUUUCAUUUCCUCAUAUAUAAAACUAAGACCAUAGAUAUUAUAGGAUCCAGAAUGAAGUAUUUUCUUCCUUCACAGAGUUGGGGUCAACUUACAAUGCUUGUAAACUUUAAAAUUUAAGCAAGCCCUUACCCAGGGCCCACUAGAGCCAGCAUUCAGCAGGUGUCUGCUUGCUGAGACAGUGUAUACAGGGACAGCUUUGUAUCUUUCUGGGCUGUAAUACUGAAAUUCUUUUCCUAAAGCUCAGUCUGAUAGACGUCUUUGACUUUGUUUAGACACUGCCUAACAGACUCAACACUUUAAAUCAUCAUCUACAGUGAAAAGCAGUGAGCACAGUGGUUGGGCUGCCGUGUUCACUGUGCGUGAGGUUGAGAGCCUGGCUCCCUCUGGCCACACUGUCAUUUAGCAUCUGCUUGCUAAGGUGAGGCAAUGUGCCUUGAGUGAUUUAUUUCAUAUUUUCCAGCUGCACCUCUGAUAACUAAAUAUAAGAGUAGUGAUAGCUGAGGAUCCAGAUAUUGCCUCCUUGAAUUCUCUUAGGAAACAUUUCAAAUAAUAUAGAGGAUUCUGUCUGGCAACAGCAUAAUGAGAAUGCUUUAUGUUUCUUUCAUGCCUCACUUCCCAGGAGCAAAAACAAUGCUGACCCUUCAAAUGAACAUUAAAUUGCAGAAAUUUUGGAGAGGCACCCUUAGAAUGCAAAGAGGACUUGAUUCAUUUCCUAGUAAAAAAUGAAAGUUUUCUUCUCUUUCUCCCUCUUUCCCACCCCACCCUUUUUUCUUUCCCUCCUCCCUCCUUCACUCCCUCCCUCUCUCCUUUCCUCCCUUUCUUCCUUCUUUCCAUUUUCUUCUUAAGAGAAGAGAGGCCAUGAAGAGGUAAAUCAGCAUUUAAAACAUGCUUUCUAGAGGAACUGGAAAGUAACUUAAGACAACAUUCCAAGCCUUGUAUGGACUUGGGGGUCAAGUGAUUUUUAGCUUCAUAAGUUCAAAGCAGAAACACUUUUAAAAAGAGUUAUUUAUGCUGGUCAGCUGGAUAGGGAGAAUUAGAUCUUAUCUUAAAUUCUACCCUCCAAAAGCCUUAUUAGGGAGUGUAUUAGAACUGGUUUUUUUUUUUAAACCAGAUUCCAGCAUUUUAAUAUAGAUUCAUGAUGGCAGUUUGGGGCUCAUAAAAUACAUAUGAAUAGAAAUUGAGUCCUACUGUAUAAAUAAAAGGUUUUUAAAA
ensembl:lincRNA